rnacentral:rRNA from 1 species
AAACGGCGGCCGUAACUAUAACGGUCCUAAGGUAGCGAAAUUCCUUGUCGGUUAAAUACCGACCUGCAUGAAUGGCGUAACGAGAUGGGAGCUGUCUCAACCAGAGAUUCAGUGAAAUUGUAGUGGAGGUGAAAAUUCCUCCUACCCGCGGCAAGACGGAAAGACCCCGUGGACCUUU